rnacentral:lncRNA from 1 species
UUUGCUAUGCAUCCAUAGGUAGAGACCCUCUAUUUAUAGAUGAUUUUUAUGAUCCAAUAAGUAUAGGAGUCCUAACUCAAAUUUGAUUUUAAUUAGUCCAAUACUCAUGAAAGAAGGAUUCCUACAUGAGAUAGAAUUACCAUCACUUAGACAACCAAUUUGCACCCACUCCCUCACCCACAUGGGAUGCCCCAAACUAGCACCAUUCUAGGUGUUAGUCUGCCCAC